UUAUCUCAACUCUCUUUGCAUCCUCUCUCUAAUAUAAUCCUCCUUUUGAUUUCUAAUCGAAAGAAAUGAGAUCUAUGAAAUCUAUCAAGCGAAAGAAUUGAUGUUAAACUUAACCCUGUUGCAGAGACACAUCAAAUGAAAUCUAUCAUAGAUCCGUUGAUGGUGAAGGUUUUUUUUUGCCAAAGUGAAUGUAGAGAUUCAUCGAUGGUUAAGGACGAAAGGCAAGUAGAGAUUCACGGAGGACGAAGUGCUAGUAUUAGUCGAAGUGAUGAAACCAAAGGAGGUUUGAGGUUUUCUGUUGUUGUAAGUAUUGUUUUGAAGAACUGAAAUUAUUGGUUCAUUUGUUUUUUAAAAACCCUAAAUCUUUGAACUCUCGGUCCAUCAAUAUGUGCACUGUGGGCAUAAAAUUCUGCUCAAAAUUUUCACCAAUUCGACCCCGCAGUUCAGCAAUCAUACUAAUCUUCUUCCCUUUCCCAAGAUCAUCAACCCCAAUCUCAUACGGCCCAGAAAACCCCCAAAAUCUUUUGUUGCUGCUGCUUUGGAAGAAGUCUUCAAUCCAAUUGCCCUAGAUUCAAAACAACCCAACUGUUAUUGCGAAGAAGUCUGUAAUUAUGACCACUACCGUUAACAUCAAUUCCAUUUGUCUAUACGGAUCCAUGAAGUCUCCAUCUCGAUUUUGUGAAGAGUUGAUUCCCAAAAUAGGAAGGAGUUUAAGGAUGUACAUGAGAGAACACCUCUGCGUAAGCUAAGUCUCAUUUACUGUUGGUCAUUUGAUUAGUUUUGAUGGGUUAAUUAGUGUUACUAACUUAUUCCGGUUAGUAUUUUUGAUUUUGUAGAUGAUAAAAUGAAGAUUGAGGUAGAGCCUUCUGAAUCAGUUGCUGAAUUUUGCGGGGGAUUCCUUGUUAAAUCUUGCAUAUCUUCACUGUGUUAAGAGGAAGGCUUAUUGGUUUUUGACUAAAAGUGCAUCUCUUUGGAAGGACCAUCUGUUCGUGCUGACCAAGCAGCAUUGUACCAUCAGAUUGUUAUCAUCCCUAUGUUUGUUUUUUCUUUUUUCUUUUUUAUAGGCAUAAUGUGAUCUCUUAUGUAUAUCUUUGUUGUAAUCGAAAUAAUAAAUGUAUUAUUAAUUAUAAAUAAUAAAUUACUUUGGAAUUA